rnacentral:lncRNA from 1 species
CAGUGAGGAAGAGGAGGAGGCUGUUCCUGAAGACCCGAGGCCGUCGGCACAGAGUGCCUUCCAGCUGGCGUACCAGGCAUGGGUGACCAACGCCCAGGCGGUGCUGAGGCGGCGGCAGCAGGAGCAGGAGCAGGCAAGGCAGGAACAGGCAGGACAGCUACCCACAGGAGGUGGUCCCAGCCAGGAGGUGGAGCCAGCAGAGGGCCCCGAGGAGGCAGCGGCAGGCCGGAGCCAUGUGGUGCAGAGGGUGCUGAGCACGGCGCAGUUCCUGUGGAUGCUGGGGCAGGCGCUAGUGGAUGAGCUGACACGCUGGCUGCAGGAGUUCACCCGGCACCACGGCACCAUGAGCGACGUGCUGCGGGCAGAGCGCUACCUCCUCACACAGGAGCUCCUGCAGGGCGGCGAAGUGCACAGGGGCGUGCUGGAUCAGCUGUACACAAGCCAGGCCGAGGCCACGCUGCCAGGCCCCACCGAGGCCCCCAAUGCCCCAAGCACCGUGUCCAGGUAGGUGCGGGGGUGACCCGAGCCCCAGCUGCUGCCCCUGGUGUGUGGGCAUCGCCUAGC